GAGGCCCAAGCCCUGACAACAGAGGUGAGAGAGGCUGUGCCAGCCCUUCUCUGGGCAUGUCUGGGCUCAAGGGCCAGGCUCUGUCUCCAGUCUAGGGCCAAGCUGGGGCCUGUGGCAGGAUCAGAUAGAGGGGUUCCCUGUACGUACCCCUUUCCCUCCAGCACUGGAGCCCGAGUCUCCCGCUGAGCAGGCACCUCUCCCUCCACGCCCAGGCUUCUUAAACCAACCCCUCCUCCCCUUGUCAUUCAUGAACCAGAUGCAGAAACUGAGGCUCAGAAGCGUUCGGCCACGUGCAUGCAUUGCCUUUCCCAUUGGUGCUCCAUCGCCAGUAAUGGAUAAGUAAUAAGUAAUAAGGUGAUUCUGACUCUCCUGGAACCUGAGAACCACCAGUCUACGGGAACAGAGCCCUGCUUUGGGUCAGACGGGGUUUCGCCGGGCUGGUCUCCGCUCCUGACCGCGAGUGAUCCGCCGGCCUCGGCCUCCCGAGGUGCCGGGAUUGCAGAUGGAGUCUCGUUCACUCGGUGCUCAAUGGUGCCCAGGCUGGAGUGCAGUGGCGUGAUCUCGGCUCGCUACAACCACCUCCCAGCCGCCUGCCUUGGCCUCCCGAAGAGCCGAGAUUGCAGCCUCUGCCCGGCCGCCACCCCGUCUGGGAAGUGAGGAGCGUCUCUGCUUGGCCGCCCAUCGUCUGGGAUAUGAGGAGCCCCUCUGCCUGGCUGCCCAGUCUGGAGGGUGAGGAGUGUCUCUGCCCGGCCGCCAUCCCAUCUAGGAAGCGAGGAGCGCCUCUUCCCCGCCG
rnacentral:lncRNA from 10 species